GCCACUUUUUGCCUUGAGUAGAUUGUAUAACCCAGGGAGUCGCCAAAGAAUUCUGUGUUUUUAUUUAGGAACAUGAAGAUUAGUACAAUCCCAUCUAUAUAACAUAACAUGAAAUGAUGAUUUGGUGGUAAAAAUUGGAUCAACAAACUGGCAGUCUUAAAAAGCUAUCAAGGUUUGAUUUGCUACUGAUCUAUAUUAUAUGAUGUAGAAUUUUAAGAAAUCAGGUUCUGCUAAUCACUCCUUCCCUGGAAAGGAUCUCAAGGGAACUGUACACACAGGUAACAUCUAGGGAAGGGCAACCAUUGUCCCACUUAAUCAGCUGAGUUAGUGUGCAAAGCAUAGCUCCAGCAAAACUGGAGUGGAACAAAGCAGUUUUGACCUGAUAUCCAAGAGGAGUUUCUUUCUUUCUUUUAAAGCUAAGGUUUGGAUGGACUUGUGGGGAAAAGAAAGAGAAACUUAGAGCUUACCUUGAGGCAGGCCCUGGUCCUUUUAUUAGCCAGUAGCAUGGAUUAGGAAAUAGUAGAAGAGAGUAAAACGUACCAUUGGACGUGAACUCCUCCUACCAGGAAAUGUAUCCUCUUCAGAGUGUUCAACUUUGACCCUUCCACUUAGCAGCAUUCCUCUUGGAGGAGGUGGUAGACAGAAGAGGUCUGAGAAUUUCUGCUCUACAGCUUGAGCUGAGGUUGUGGCACUGCGCCUGGAGAUGGCUGGAUAGAAUCAAGACAUUGCCAAAGCGUCUGAGCAGUCUUCAGAUUUUGGUGGGUAAACCUGAGCCCAUGGAAGACAGUGAGAAGAUGCACCUGGCUGACAAGAGAAGUAAGGGAAGAAGGCAUCAGCCAGCAUCAUGGAAGGUCAUGUGUUGGUGUCCCCCGUCCUCGCAUUAGAAUAUCAGGUUGGCCUCUUGGCCUCUUGUGGACUAUUGUAGGCCCACAAGAAUAGGAGUUAUUUGACUUUUUUUUUUCUCCUGAAUAUGGAGGGUCAAGUGAUUACCACAAUCUCAGCUUUUUAUGCUCUUUAGUUUUGAAGAGGGAGUUUUAUUGAUAUUGACUUUAAGAAUUACCUCUAUUAAAAAUUUGUGGACUAUAAAAUGUUUAAUAUUUUGGUAAUGCACUCAUAAAUCUUGAAGGUUGUUGAAUAAAGUGCUUAAUUUCAUAAAUAUUUUAACAAUUAUUAAUAUAAAAUCAAUAUUUCAGCAUUUAAUAAGUAAACAAACCAUUAUUUAGGAUAAUUCUAAAUAAUUGUUAAUAAUGUAACCAUGUACCACUAUGCAUAAAUCUUACCUUGUGUGCUGUGAAUCUCUUUAACUUACAAACAUUAUCUGUAUUAAAACCAAUUCUAUCUCAAGGUUUUUCAAUUGCAACAAAGUGAUUGGUAGUAAUUUUAGGACUACAAUUUUACAGAAAGGAAAUUGGCUCUGAAAGGUAAUUCUCUGGUCCUAAUUAGAUUCAUAAUAUAUGCAUCUCAGCUAAAAGUUAUUUCAGUUCUGCAAGUCUCUGAAGUAAAAACUGAACUAUAAAGGGACAACCAUCAGGCAGAUAUGGAUGAUAUUGGAAGGCAGAUAUUGGAAAUCUGUUAUAAUGGUUUUUUUUGUACUCAUCAUUUUUGCUGCUAUUUAUGACCAUGCUGCCUUGACUUUAUAGCCUUGGUUCUUUAUAUUAAUCAUAGAUACAAGCACUUGCAACAUUGUAUCAUUUAAUUUAGAAAACUGAAUAGGGAAUUUCAGUUUAUCCUUCUUGACUGAAAGCAACUAUAAGUGCAAAUUUCUCCCUUUACUAUGGCAUUUAAAUCUUGAAGAUGCCAUCUUAAGAGAAUGAUAAUUAUAUCCAAACCUAUACAAAUGCUGACAUUUAUUUAACUCUUUCUUUGUGCUUGCCCUGUGUUGGGCCAUAAGCUCCCUUUCUUCUGGGCUUUGCCUGGAAUAUUCUCUUAGUUCCCUUCUUUCCUUCCUAUCACCUUUGCAAGGUUCCUCGUGUAAGACUUAAACAACACUACCCUAAUCCUUCUGAAAUGGAUUAAGUCUCUUAUGUGAUCCUGUAACUUCCAAUACUUCUUUCUUUCUAAAAACUUCACAUGUAAAUAUUUAUUUACUCUGGGUUUUUCAUGUUAAACUCUGAGAUCUGUAGGUGCAGGGAUAAUAUCGUGUCUACUUCAUUUAUCACUUAAUUUCUUGUAACUGGUUAAGUGAUGAGCACAAAGGAGUUGUUCAAUAAAUAUUAGUUGAAUAAAAGAAUCAUAUUGA
rnacentral:lncRNA from 1 species